UUGGGUGUCCGUCCACGUUUGCUGGUGCAUGUAUUUUUACCACUGCAGCGUUUGGGUUGGUCAAGUGCAGCCUUUGCAUAUUUACAAAAAAAAGUACACAACAUUACAAAAAAUUAACAUUU